UAGCCGUAAACGAUACUCGCUAGGUGUCGGCCACGGUGCGACCGUUGUCGGUGCCGUAGGGAAGCCGUGAAGCGAGCCACCUGGGAAGUACGGCCGCAAGGCUGAAACUUAAAGGAAUUGGCGGGGGAGCACAACAACGGGUGGAGCUUGCGGUUUAAUCGGAUUCAACGCCGGAAAUCUUACCGGGACCGACAGCAACAUGAAGGCCAAGCUGAAGACUUUGCCGGAUUAGCUGAGAGGUGGUGCAUGGCGUAGUCGUGU
rnacentral:rRNA from 1 species